rnacentral:rRNA from 1 species
UUAUUAUAAAUUAAAAUAUUAAAACUAUAGUAGUAUUAGUUAUGUUCUUGAAAUUAAAAAAAUUUGGCGGUAUUUUAGUCUAUUCAGAGGAACCUGUUUCUUAAUCGAUAAUCCACGAUGGACCUUACUUAAUUUUGUAAAGUUUAUAUACCGUCGUUAUAAAUAUUUUAAAAGAAAUUUAAAUUUUUAAUAAUUAAUAUUAUAAAAUAUAUCAGAUCAAGGUUUAGCUAAUAGUUAAGUGAAAAUGGGUUACAAUAAAUUUAUUUAUAUGGAAUAAUUAUUGAAAUAUAUUUAUGAAAUUGGAUUUGAUAGUAAAAUUAUAAAGAUUAAUAAUUUGAUUUUAGCUCUAAAAUAUGUACAUAUCGCCCGUCACUCUUAUUUAUAAAUAAGAUAAGUCGUAACAUAGUAGAUGUACUGGAAAGUGUAUCUAGAAUG